rnacentral:misc_RNA from 1 species
UCCGGUUUAUCACCGGCGGUCCCGUCUAGAGUGCUGCCCGUACGGGCGAGCAACUAGAGGCAAGGGUUGCGCUCGUUGCGGGACUUAACCCAACAUCUCACGACACGAGCUGACGACAGCCAUGCAGCACCUCUACAACUGUCUAUUGCUAGCCGUACUCAUCUCUGAGUACUUCAGUUGCAGUUCAAACCCAGGUAAGGUUCUUCGCGUUGCAUCGAAUUGAACCACAUGCUCCACCGCUUGUGCGGGCCCCCGUCAAUUCCUUUGAGUUUCAGACUUGCGACCGUACUCCCCAGGCGGUGCACUUAUCGCGUUAACUUCGGCACAAACCGAAAACCGGCUUACACCAAGUGCACAUUGUUUACGGCUAGGACUAC